UACGUAGGGUGCGAGCGUUGUCCGGAAUUAUUGGGCGUAAAGAGCUCGUAGGCGGUUUGUCGCGUCGGCCGUGAAAACUUGGGGCUUAACCUCAAGCCUGCGGUCGAUACGGGCAGACUUGAGUUCGGCAGGGGAGACUGGAAUUCCUGGUGUAGCGGUGAAAUGCGCAGAUAUCAGGAGGAACACCGGUGGCGAAGGCGGGUCUCUGGGCCGAUACUGACGCUGAGGAGCGAAAGCGUGGGGAGCGAACAGG
rnacentral:rRNA from 1 species